AGGACGAACGCUGGCGGCGUGCUUAACACAUGCAAGUCACGGGGGGUAGCAAUACCAACCGGCGAACGGGUGCGUAACACGUGAGCAACCUACCGAUUUGUGGGGAUAGCUGGUCUAACGGCCAGGUAAUACCGCAUACGCUCUCCGGGUCUCCUGACCUGGCGAGGAAACCUCCGGGGCAAAUCGAGGGGCUCGCGGCCUAUCAGCUAGUUGGCGAGGUCACGGCUCACCAAGGCGACGACGGGUAGCUGGU
rnacentral:rRNA from 1 species